rnacentral:tmRNA from 1 species
GGGAGCGCAAAGGUUUCGACAAGCAGCCUUUUUAAAAAUUCAACCCGAGGAUGAUUGUGAGCUCGUAAAAAUCAAUCAAACAAAAGUGCAAAUAAUUUUGCGCCUUCCUACGCAUACGCCUAACCGGCUUAACGCGUAGCGUCCCAAUCAUUUCUUGCUUCGGGAAAGAUUGGGGCGUCAACCAACGAAGCUUGAUUUUUAAUCUUUUUUCUCCUAUGAUUAAAAACGACUUUUUAAGGAGAACUCUAUUUUUAAUUUUGUCUUUUUUAUAGGAAAUGGAGAAAAAAUAAAAAGACUACGGUUGUAAAUUUUUUAACGAGAUUGACUAUGGACAGGGGUUCAAUCCCCUCGCUUCCACAA